GAGCACUGUUUCGGCUAGGGGGCCAUCCCGGCUUACCAACCCGAUGCAAACUGCGAAUACCGGAGAAUGUUAUCACGGGAGACACACGGCGGGUGCUAACGUCCGUCGUGAAGAGGGAAACAACCCAGACCGCCAGCUAAGGUCCCAAAGUCAUGGUUAAGUGGGAAACGAUGUGGGAAGGCCCAGACAGCCAGGAUGUUGGCUUAGAAGCAGCCAUCAUUUAAAGAAAGCGUAAUAGCUCACUGGUCGAGUCGGCCUGCGCGGAAGAUGUAACGGGGCUAAACCAUGCACCGAAGCUGCGGCAGCGACGCUGAUGCGUUGUUGGGUAGGGGAGCGUUCUGUAAGCCUGCGAAGGUGGCCUGUGAGGGUUGCUGGAGGUAUCAGAAGUGCGAAUGCUGACAUAAGUAACGAUAAAGCGGGUGAAAAGCCCGCUCGCCGGAAGACCAAGGGUUCCUGUCCAACGUUAAUCGGGGCAGGGUGAGUCGACCCCUAAGGCGAGGCCGAAAGGCGUAGUCGAUGGGAAACGGGUUAAUAUUCCCGUACUUGGUGUUACUGCGAAGGGGGGACGGAGAAGGCUAUGUUGGCCGGGCGACGGUUGUCCCGGUUUAAGCGUGUAGGUGUGUGUUCCAGGUAAAUCCGGUUCACUUUAACACUGAGGCGUGAUGACGAGGCACUACGGUGCUGAAGCAACAAAUGCCCUGCUUCCAGGAAAAGCCUCUAAGCAUCAGGUAACAUCAAAUCGUACCCCAAACCGACACAGGUGGUCAGGUAGAGAAUACCAAGGCGCUUGAGAGAACUCGGGUGAAGGAACUAGGCAAAAUGGUGCCGUAACUUCGGGAGAAGGCACGCUGACACGUAGGUGAAGUGAUUUACUCAUGGAGCUGAAGUCAGUCGAAGAUACCAGCUGGCUGCAACUGUUUAUUAAAAACACAGCACUGUGCAAACACGAAAGUGGACGUAUACGGUGUGACGCCUGCCCGGUGCCGGAAGGUUAAUUGAUGGGGUCAGCGCAAGCGAAGCUCCUGAUCGAAGCCCCGGUAAACGGCGGCCGUAACUAUAACGGUCCUAAGGUAGCGAAAUUCCUUGUCGGGUAAGUUCCGACCUGCACGAAUGGCGUAAUGAUGGCCAGGCUGUCUCCACCCGAGACUCAGUGAAAUUGAACUCGCUGUGAAGAUGCAGUGUACCCGCGGCAAGACGGAAAGACCCCGUGAACCUUUACUAUAGCUUGACACUGAACAUUGAGCCUUGAUGUGUAGGAUAGGUGGGAGGCUUUGAAGUGUGGACGCCAGUCUGCAUGGAGCCGGCCUUGAAAUACCACCCUUUAAUGUUUGAUGUUCUAACGUGGACCCGUGAUCCGGGUUGCGGACAGUGUCUGGUGGGUAGUUUGACUGGGGCGGUCUCCUCCUAAAGAGUAACGGAGGAGCACGAAGGUUGGCUAAUCCUGGUCGGACAUCAGGAGGUUAGUGCAAUGGCAUAAGCCAGCUUGACUGCGAGCGUGACGGCGCGAGCAGGUGCGAAAGCAGGUCAUAGUGAUCCGGUGGUUCUGAAUGGAAGGGCCAUCGCUCAACGGAUAAAAGGUACUCCGGGGAUAACAGGCUGAUACCGCCCAAGAGUUCAUAUCGACGGCGGUGUUUGGCACCUCGAUGUCGGCUCAUCACAUCCUGGGGCUGAAGUAGGUCCCAAGGGUAUGGCUGUUCGCCAUUUAAAGUGGUACGCGAGCUGGGUUUAGAACGUCGUGAGACAGUUCGGUCCCUAUCUGCCGUGGGCGCUGGAGAACUGAGGGGGGCUGCUCCUAGUACGAGAGGACCGGAGUGGACGCAUCACUGGUGUUCGGGUUGUCAUGCCAAUGGCACUGCCCGGUAGCUAAAUGCGGAAGAGAUAAGUGCUGAA
rnacentral:rRNA from 1 species